GAUAGCUAAGAAGCAAGGACUGUGAAUUAAAAGAUACACCACAGGGACAGACAAUGAGGAGAAGGCAGGGGGACUCAUUUAGAUAGAGCCGGUCAGGGAAAAAACUCUCGGAGAAGAUGCCAAGACCUGAAGGUCAAGAAGGACUUAGCCAUGUGACUUAACCAAGAAUGUUCUGGGCAGAAGAGAAGGGGAAGACUUUGAGAUGAAAUAGAACGUCGCAUGUUCAAGAAAUGGAGAAGAGGCCAGUAUAGCUGAGGAGUCAAGAAAACUUUUCUUUUGAGCUAUCAACAGUUUUUAACAAUUGAAUAAAGCAUACCCCUAUGAGCAAAAUUUUCAGCAUAUUUCUUUCUCACUACUUGAUUUUACCAGAAUUUGGAAACUAUUUACUGACUCUACUUAUUCCUGUAAAUCAACCAGUGAUCUCUGGCUGCUGCUCAAAAGAAAAGAGGGAAAUAGG
rnacentral:lncRNA from 1 species